GAAAUACUUCCUCUGUCCCAAAAUUCUUGUCUUAGAUUUGUCUAGAUAUGGAUGUAUCUUACACUAAAACGUAACUAGAUACAUCCGUAUUUAGACAAAUCUAAGACAAGAAUUUUGGGACGGAGGGAGUAUAUG
rfam:Triticum aestivum genome assembly, contig: Triticum_aestivum_CS42_TGACv1_scaffold_220608_3B